UCUCUGUAAAAUUCUCAGCUUUCUCCCUCUCCUCAGUUCAACAGGUUGGCGAAAGUUCAUCAAAUUCAUCACGAUAUUUUCACAGAUUUUGGAUUAAUUAUUUUGACAACAAUUAUCCAAGAGAUGCUUCGUCUGUACCCACCAGGAGUAUUAAGAUGCCAGGCUAAAAGAGAUUCAAGUUCCAAAAGGACUCAUUCAUUCGGGCUCGCAGCUAUCACAAAGAAUCCACGGCACCCUCCUGGGUUUACUUAUGCGUGGGAUGUAUUCAACCACCUAAAGGGAAGAGGAAGAACACAUCAAGAUGCACAUGAUAAAGUGAUAAUGAGUUAAUGACAUAUACAAAGCUAAAUAUUUAGACAUGUUAUUACUGUCAUGAAUCUUAUGAUUGUCUAAAUUUUCAAUCUAAACCUUGUCAAUGUCUUUCACUGGCAGAAAUUGAAGUCACAUGAUGUAAACUUGAACAUGACCGGUCUCUUAUUGUCCAACAAUUGCUGAUAUUAUUUUUAAUUUAAUUUGAUACAUUUUUUUUGAAA